rnacentral:rRNA from 1 species
AACGAACGCUGGCGGCGCGCCUAAUACAUGCAAGUCGAACGAGAAGGUGUAGCAAUACACUUGUACAGUGGCGAACGGGUGAGGAAUGCAUGGGCAACCUACCCUCGAGUGGGGAACAACCAGCCGAAAGGUUGGCUAAUACCGCGUACGCUUCCGGGUCUCCGGAUCCGGAAGGAAAGUCACACCGUGGGUGUGACGCUCAAGGAUGGGCUCAUGUCCUAUCAGCUUGNGGUGAGGUAACGGCUCACCAAGGCAACGACGGGUAGCUGGUCUGAGAGGACGAUCAGCCACACUGGCACUGCGACACGGGCCAGACUCCUACGGGA